GGUUUGUUUAAGUUAAUCCUUGGCUUCCUUGCUGAUCCUUCACUUCAAAUGGAAGUGCGUACGAGACAUGAAGCUCUCAAAAGCCUCCUGGAUGUUAGUAUUUUUGCGACAUUGGAACCAAUAACCAUGGAGUACAGUCUGUCACUUUCUUCUGGUGAUGUCCUGAACAUGAAAGUGAGCCGAAUGAUGUGCUGGGAAAGAGAAAAUGCAAAGAUCUUUGUACAGAAGCUGGACAAAUCAGGUGGUUACAGAUGUAAGCUCGAGUUUGCUACAUAUUUCUCAGAAGUAGUUGCCGAGGGAAUUCUAAGGGAGAAAGAAGAUUAUGUGCAUCAACUGGCUGAAUUGAUCAAGUUGGGAUUCAUCCUGGAGUUCGAUGAGGCAGCUGUUGGGUUCUUAAUGAAAACAAAGAAUUUGCAGUUAUUUUUGGAGGAUGAAGAAUUCCUUUCUGCUGCCUUCACUUCCGAAUAGGCAGGGAGACAUGGUUGCGAAUGGUUAGGAUAGCGUUUUGGUUGGUGUGGCCCUCUGUAGAUGCCAAAUGGGAUUUCUGUUGCUUUCUGGUCGGGCGAGAGUUCUCCUUGCUAGUUUUUAAUGCGUUUUGUUUUGUAUUUUGCUGCUCUAAGGGUUCCCGUGUAAUUUACCAAAUUUGCACUUAAGGGAUACAAUUGCUGAAAAGCUUUACUCCUCAGUUCCAUGUUCUUAAGAUUUUGUUCCUCA